rnacentral:rRNA from 1 species
UACGAAGGGUGCAAACGUUGCUCGGAAUUAUUGGGCGUAAAGCGCACGUAGGCGGAUUGUUAAGUCGGGGGUGAAAUCCUGGAGCUCAACUCCAGAACUGCCUUCGAAACUGGCGAUCUUGAGUCCGGGAGAGGUGAGUGGAACUGCGAGUGUAGAGGUGAAAUUCGUAGAUAUUCGGAGGAACACCAGUGGCGAAGGCGGCUCACUGGCUCGACACUGACGCUGAGGUGCGAAAGCGUGGGGAGCAAACAGG